UAGUGUCUACCAUUCUCUGUUUUGAGUGAAAAAUAAUAUACUGUGGAAAACUUCAGAAAUAAGUGUGAUAUACCUUAUUAUACUAAAAGUGUUGGAAAAAAUUGUGCUUAAAAUAUUGUUAUAUUUGUGUUAAAAAAAUCUGCGAACAUUUUAGCUCUAUCUAUAAAAAUGUGAAAUUCAACUAUGGUGAAAUUUCGCUCAGAUUAGAAAGAUUAAAAUUGCCGUUGAGAAACGACGUUCAUCGAUUAUGGGACUGUCAUCGUUACUCAUCAUUAAAUAAAAAUAAUAAUUCCAACAAAUUCUAAAAAUUUUUUAGUGAAAUCUUCUAUUAUUAAUAUUAAACAAAUGUUUGUUAAACACGAAACGGCGCGUGUUUUAUUACAUAUUAUUUUAAAAUAAUGAAAUAAUGUUUCUUACUAAAUCGAAUUGUUUUAUGAAUAUUAUUAAUAAUUCACCAAAAAUAACAAAAUUCCAUUCUACCAGUAUU